rnacentral:rRNA from 1 species
AAAUGAAUAGACGGGGACCCGCACAAGCAGAGGAGCAUGUGGUUUAAUUCGAAGAUACGCGAAAAACCUUACCCAGUCUUGACAUCCCACGCAUAGCCGCGAAAUCGGUGAAAGGAGAGCAAUCUUCCGUGGAGACAGGUGUUGCAUGGUUGUCGUCAGCUCGUGUCGUGAGAUGUUCGGUUAAGUCCGAUAACGAGCGCAACCCUUGUCGUCAGUUGCCAGCAUUAAGUUGGGCACUCUGGCGAAACUGCCGUCGAUAAGACGGAGGAAGGUGGGGAUGACGUCAAAUCAUCAUGGCCCUUACGGCUGGGGCUACACACGUGCUACAAUGGUGACUACAAAGUGUUCCGAAAUAGCAAUAUGGGGGCAAUCACAAAAAAGUCAUCUCAAUUCGGAUUGUGGGCUGCAACUCGCCCACAUGAAGUCGGAUUUGCUAGUAAUCCCGAAUCAGCAUGUCGGGGUGAAUGCGUUCCCGGGUCUUGUACACACCGCCCGU